AUAAGGUCCCAGUUCAGUGGCUGCUCUCAGGAGCAGAGGCUCACCUUAUAGAAGAAGAAGCAGGACCGAGCUGGGCUCUGGCAGCAGCAGUUUGGACCAUCCUCCUCUGAAGCCGCAGAGUGAGAGAGCUGGCAGCUGCCCCAGCCCUCCUCUUCCUGCCCCAGAUCCCCCGGUAUCUCUGUCCCUCGGAGAGAAACUCCCCAGGCCCUGUCACUGAUCUCUGUGGACCUCUGCUCCUCACUCGUAAAAUAAGAUACCUGUGAUGAAAUGCAGCAAAGAGGCACAAGAAGCUCUCCCCAUAUGGCAGGAAAUGCAAAGAAGGCUGUCUGCCCACUGUGUCAUACCUGAAGAGGGAGCAGACAGACAAUGGAGCACAGAAUCCGAGGAGGGAGCUGAGUAAAGAUUGGGAGAUACAGGGUCUGUUAAGAGUUUGAAUGGCUCUGUGAAGGUUUCGUAUUCAGGGGUGAAACUUCACACUCAUUCUCAAUGGAAACCGAUGGCCCCACGUCACAGUUCUCUUGUGGUGAGAAGUGGUGAAGGUGGUUGCAGGCAAACAAGACAGACUGGACAAAAU